rnacentral:rRNA from 1 species
UCCAGACUCCUACGGGAGGCAGCAGUGAGGAAUAUUGGUCAAUGGCCGGAAGGCUGAACCAGCCAAGCCGCGUGAGGGAGGAAGGCGCAGAGCGUCGCAGACCUCUUUUGCCGGGGGACAAAAGGCCGGACGGGUCCGGUUCUGAGGGUACCCGGAGAAAAAGCAUCGGCUAACUCCGUGCCAGCAGCCGCGGUAAUACGGAGGAUGCGAGCGUUAUCCGGAUUUAUUGGGUUUAAAGGGUGCGUAGGCGGGCUGUAAGGUCAGCGGGAAAAGGUGGGGGCUAACCCCCGGCCUGCCGUUGAAACUGGCGGCCUCGAGUGGGCGAGAAGUAUGCGGAAUGCGUGGUGUAGCGGUGAAAUGCAUAGAUAUCACGCAGAACGCCGAUUGCGAAGGCAGCUUACCGGCGCUCAACUGACGCUGAGGCACGAAAGUGCGGGUAUCGAACAGGAUUAGAUACCCCUGUA